AAGAAUGUCCCCCCUAACACACUUACCAUGGAGAAAAUUCAGAGGUUUGGAAGUGUUUUAUUUACAGACAUCCAUUAUUGUCUGUGCCUCUGCACCCACCAUGCAUCAAGGACAACUCAAAGUGGAGUUUAUAACACUGCAUGACCAUACAAAGGAUCUGAGUGAGGACUUUUGCAGAGGGCUCCAUUUACCUAUAACAAUGUUUGUUUUGUUUUGUUUUUUUUAAAUGUAAAAGGUUUGAAUAUUUAAAUAAAAGUGUCAGACUUUA